rnacentral:rRNA from 1 species
UGGGGAAUAUUGCACAAUGGGCGCAAGCCUGAUGCAGCCAUGCCGCGUGUAUGAAGAAGGCCUUCGGGUUGUAAAGUACUUUCAGCGGGGAGGAAGGGAGUAAAGUUAAUACCUUUGCUCAUUGACGUUACCCGCAGAAGAAGCACCGGCUAACUCCGUGCCAGCAGCCGCGGUAAUACGGAGGGUGCAAGCGUUAAUCGGAAUUACUGGGCGUAAAGCGCACGCAGGCGGUUUGUUAAGUGAGAUGUGAAAUCCCCGGGCUCAACCUGGGAACUGCAUCUGAUACUGGAAAGCUUGAGUCUCGUAGAGGGGGGUAGAAUUCCAGGUGUAGCGGGGAAAUGCGUAGAGAUCUGGAGGAAUACCGGUGGCGAAGGCGGCCCCCUGGACGAAGACUGACGCUCAGGUGCGAAAGCGUGGGGAGCAAACAGG